rnacentral:rRNA from 1 species
GACGAACGCUGGCGGCGUGCCUAAUACAUGCAAGUAGAACGCUGAAGAGAGGAGCUUGCUCUUCUUGGAUGAGUUGCGAACGGGUGAGUAACGCGUAGGUAACCUGCCUGGUAGCGGGGGAUAACUAUUGGAAACGAUAGCUAAUACCGCAUGAUAUUAAUUGUUGCAUGAUAAUUAAUUGAAAGAUGCAAUUGCAUCACUACCAGAUGGACCUGCGUUGUAUUAGCUAGUUGGUGAGGUAACGGCUCACCAAGGCGACGAUACAUAGCCGACCUGAGAGGGUGAUCGGCCACACUGGGACUGAGACACGGCCCAGACUCCUACGGGAGGCAGCAGUAGGGAAUCUUCGGCAAUGGGGGGAACCCUGACCGAGCAACGCCGCGUGAGUGAAGAAGGUUUUCGGAUCGUAAAGCUCUGUUGUAAGAGAAGAACGAGUGUGAGAGUGGAAAGUUC